rnacentral:lncRNA from 1 species
GAGUCUAGUGGCAUUGUUACAAAGUACUCAUUUACUCUUAGAAAAAAUGACACUGCAUUUUUUUACAUUCAGAAAUUAGCUGCUCCGACUACAGACCGAGUGUUCAACAUGCAGCUGCUUACAUACACUGAGAAUACACAUAUACUACUGCAUAGCUCACAACCAUGCACGAGUGUUGUCACUACCCGGGUCAAUAGCAGCAAUCAACAGUCCUCAUUAGCAAUAAACAAAACAAAACAAAACAAAAAAUCCUGCAUAGUCCACCCAUUGUCGCAUGCACACUUGUCAUAAUUUUUUCUGAACCAAACCAGCAAUUAAUGACGAAACUCCUCAUACAGAUGUAUCCCUACAAAUACUAAAUCAAACUUAAACGAAAGAAAGUCACUAAGACCAAUUGUCAUGCAACCAGCCAAUAAGAGAAAAGAAACACAUGCCAAGAAACAUUAGUCAGUGGGAAUCGAAAUGAAAGCCUAUGCAUUCAUUAAUUGGCUCUCAGGAGACCCAAAUGCAACUCGCAUGCAGAUGAAUGAAGUGAGACAAAUAGCAGGUCCUAAGCUAUAAACGUGUAAGAUUAUGAAGUUGUCCUAUCAGUUCGUUUUUAGAUAUCAGCAAGAAGUUUUGUGGGUAAGAAAGUUUUCAGUAAGCUGAAGAGUCUUGUGCUUAGAAAGCUUAUCUUCUGCAAGCGAGAAAGAAGAACCAGAACACCACGGCUGCACCAGAGAUCGAGGUAAUCCUGCCAUCGAGAGGACAUGGAAAGGGGGGCGUCGCUGAACCUGUGCAGAUGGGUUGAAGUUGUGCUGGCGAGACGGCAUGUUGCAUAGCUGCCAAGCUAAUGACCGAGACGCUUGAUCCAUACUCGGCCAGGAAGAAAGAGCAGCUUCUAUUUGUGCUUCCACCUUCCCACGGUGGUACUGGUGUUCCAUACGGCGAGCGGCAGCUUUGCUAGCUCCUGCACUAUUCAUGCUUCCAUAUCAAGAGUUGGCUGCAGGUCUGGUCAUCCAGAUCAGGGGCCAGCAGCAUUUGAUUCCCGUGGUAAAAAGAGGCGCCCGCUCCUAAUGCAUACCUGCUGCGGCUGCAAGGAAAGGGGAAAAUUGGGAGAUGAGUAGGAAAGAGGCAGGGGGAGAAAGCCAUCAACCUUAUUAGCGGGGGAACGCACCAGCGACCGAAGGCGGCGCGGUUCAUCUCGACGACGGCGGCACACCCGCGCUCGCGCGGGAGGAUGACCACACUGCGGAGGAGUCGCACAGGGCAGGGAGAGCCCGUGACCGGCGAGCGACCUAGGAUAGAACCCCAUGCACUCCAUGGAGAAAUCGGCGGCGCUGGAUCGGACAUCAACAGGGCAGAGCUCACGCUGUAUUCAAUGGGAGGGGCGUCGGGAGAGAAGGAGCCGGGAUUAUGGCGCAGCCGAGAUGGAAGACACACAUGGAGUGG